rnacentral:tRNA from 1 species
GGACGCAUAGCUCAGUUGGUAGAGCGCCUCCCUUACAAGGAGGAUGUCGGCGGUUCGAGCCCGUCUGCGUCCACCA